rnacentral:rRNA from 1 species
AGUGAACGCUGGCGGUAGGCCUAACACAUGCGAGUCGAACGGCAGCACAGUAAGAGCUUGCUCUUACGGGUGGCGAGUGGCGGACGGGUGAGGAAUACAUCGGAAUCUACUUUUUCGUGGGGGAUAACGUAGGGAAACUUACGCUAAUACCGCAUACGACCUACGGGUGAAAGCAGGGGAUCUUCGGACCUUGCGCGUUUGAAUGAGCCGAUGUCGGAUUAGCUAGUUGGCGGGGUAAAGGCCCACCAAGGCGACGAUCCGUAGCUGGUCUGAGAGGAUGAUCAGCCACACUGGAACUGAGACACGGUCCAGACUCCUACGGGAGGCAGCAGUGGGGAAUAUUGGACAAUGGGCGCAAGCCUGAUCCAGCCAUACCGCGUGGGUGAAGAAGGCCUUCGGGUUGUAAAGCCCUUUUGUUGGGAAAGAAAAGCAGCAGGUUAAUACCCCGCUGUUCUGACGGUACCCAAAGAAUAAGCACCGGCUAACUUCGUG